UGCCAGCCGCCGCGGUAAUACGAAGGGACCUAGCGUAGUUCGGAAUUACUGGGCUUAAAGAGUUCGUAGGUGGUUGAAAAAGUUGGUGGUGAAAUCCCAGAGCUUAACUCUGGAACUGCCAUCAAAACUUUUCAGCUAGAGUAUGAUAGAGGAAAGCAGAAUUUCUAGUGUAGAGGUGAAAUUCGUAGAUAUUAGAAAGAAUACCAAUUGCGAAAGCACCUUUCUGGCUCAGAUCUGACACUGAGGCGCGAAGGCGUGGGGAGCGAAGCCGAUUAGAUC
rnacentral:rRNA from 1 species